ACGGCCACAUCACGUCGAAACACUAGUUCUCGUACAAUCAAUGAAGUUAAGCAAUGUCGAGCCUGGUUAGUACCUAGAUGAGUGACUGCUUGGGAAUACCAGGUGCUGUAAG